rfam:Triticum aestivum genome assembly, contig: Triticum_aestivum_CS42_TGACv1_scaffold_592578_7BS
CAAGUACUCCCUCCGUUUCGAAUUACUCAUCGCACGUAUGGAUGUAUCUAAAUGUAUUUUAGUUCUAGAUACUCAUCUAGAUACAUCCAUUUCAGCGACGAGUAAUUUGGAACGGAGGGAGUAAUAA